ensembl:lncRNA
CAAUGUCCUUUCACCGAAGCCAAUCAAUUGUGUUCCAGCUGUGUUCUCCCCAUGAGGGUGUGUUUACACUGACUUCAGCGUGGAGUCAUUACAUCAGAAUCAGAUGGAUAUUGGGUGACAGAAAGCCCUGGCAGCAUUAAACUUGUUUUACUCCUGUUGCUCUAGCCUGGUGGAGAAACAUCUGCUAGUGAAAGGAUGCACUUUUGAAUAUAUAUCUUUAGAAGAUCAUUCAUUCUUCAGAUUCCUGGAACUUUAACAACAAAUUUUAAACAGACCCCAAAACGCUGCAAGGAUCACAUGCCCAAAUCAGAGCUGAACAAAUCAUUUUCAGGAAUUACAAGGGAGGCAUCAACACAGCUAAAUACUGAUAGUGUAGCAACUAUAAGAGAUGGAAAGAUACUCCACACCUGUGUGUGGCUCCUCAGAGGAUGAGGUGAAAAUUUACCAACAUUACCAUCCCAUACCUCAACAGCAUCCUCACAACCAUCAUUACAACCACUAUCACCACCGUGGCUCACACAGUCAUGGAAAACACACUGAAAAACAUACUCACCAGCACCACGACAACCAGCUUCACUUUUAUCAUCCUGCAAACCCUAAAAUGUCUGGAGACCAUCACAGAGUCUCUAAAAGGUCUUCCUCCAGCCUGUCCUCCUCCUCUUCCACUUCUUCAUCUGGAUCUUGGACCUCUGAGCCCAGCCUGGAUGAUGAGACGUAUCUCAUGCACAAACCCCAGCAUUCCCUGUCCUGCUCCAACAUCCCUGAGGUCCGAAGGAAAAGCCAUGACAGAGAAUCUGAGGACUUUGAUUUUGAUCUGAGUGAUCAGGGGCACCGCCACAGUCUAGAAAACGCAGUCGAACUGCUGCCUGGUUCUCAGCAUGGACAUCAGAUGCCAAAACUCUCCCGGGACCAUAGCAAAAGCGAGGAGGGCCUUCAACAAAACAAGCAUAAAGAUGGUUGCUCAGCAGGAUCUCACUCCAUAGAUCAUGGGCCUCUUUACAAGACAGCAAGCCUGGGACAAAGCCUUGCCUUUGGUGGCAAUAAUGAUAACACUCUAGGUGGCAGAGUGGUUCCCAAGAAGGCUGUUUCAUCUAUUCAGUUGCCCAGCAAAGGUAUUCUGAAAAACAUAGAUGAGGGACAGAAAGAUGGAAACUUCAGGAAAGCGAAGUCUAUGGAGGUGCUCUCCACCAGGGUGCACGUCACAGGAACAUCCGAGCAGAUCUCUAUGGAAGCUGCAAGUGAUAACUUUGUGAAAGGGAAGCUACAGUUCUCUGCAUUUCUGGACGAGAUCACCAGGCAGGUUAUCAGUCCCUGUGCUCUUAGCUCUUUUGGCGUAAAUACACCAACGCCACCAAAAUCUCCCAAUGAAGAGCGCAAGAACCGUGGCAGCAAACGGGAGAGCUUUGUGCCGCCACCAAAACAGCAGCCCAUCAGAGCUGAGAGACCAGAUUCAGGAAAAACAGAUUCAAGCUCACUCUCUCGAUCCCAUAAGAGCAAAAACCACAACCGAAACCUGACCAGCCCUCCAUCGCUGCCCUGCCGCCCUUCAAAAGCUGAAAGACAAGGGGCUGCUUCAGGGAAACAGCACCACAGACAAUAUUCCCAGAUGUUCACUGAUGGUACCAGCACCAGCCCAGAAACUAUCCACACCAACCUCUCGAAACACAAAGGGCGACAUCAAAGUAGUCAUGGCCCGUCCAGGAACUUCCAUACUAAGCAGGCAAAGGGAUCACCGCCGCCUCGGCGAGCGGCAGGGCUGGAGUUAGAGUCCCAGUCAAGUAAAUCAUCCACCAGUGCUAGUUCAGAGAAAAGUGACAGACCCAAACACAUGGGACACAGGAGGCAGUCCAAACCACACAGGGAUUCAUCUGGUUCCGUGGACAGAGUUCAGAUGCUGGAGGAGCACAACAAAGAGCUACAUGAGACCCUGUUGCAGACUGUGGCAUGCAUUGAGAACAUGGAGGCAGAAUUGCAAAGUACCAAGACAGAGUUAGUCAGCUUCAAAGAGAAAUACAGAAGGCUACAGGAAAGCUAUUCUGUUUCUCAGCAGGCAAGCAGUAUCUUGGAGCAGAAACUCAAAACUGCAGUAGACAGCUUGGACUCAGAGAGGAAGUUCCUCAUGCAGAGAAUUGCAGAUCUGACUAAACAGCUGGAUACUGCUCAGAAGACCAUCAGCUCUCUGGAAAACAUUAAUGUUCCCUCACUGAUUAGAGAGUUGUUGAAAAAUCACUUAGACUCUCAUGAAGCACUGGAGCACUUGUUAUGUCCUCAAACAUAUCCACGCCAAACUGAUGGAUACCAAUCAGAGAGGGUGAAGGAGCUCAGAAACAACCAACCGUUUGAUGGAAAAAGGGAUGUUUUUGAAUGGCCACAGACUGGACACACAUGCUCAGGUGCCAGACAACAGCCUGCCACAACCUUUCUGCCAUGGAAACAUGAUCACGAUCCAUGGGCAGGGCCAGGGCAACUUGUGACUGAAGGAAGUGACUCACAACUUCCUUUUUCUUUUAGUAAUGAUAUGCCAAUCCAGAACACGAUGGCAGAUACAAAGGCACCAAAUCAUCAAGUGCACCAAUUAGCCAUGAACACAGAGAUCCACUUAAUUCCCCCAAACCCAUAUAAUCCAGUUGAGAUGAGGCUCAGCAGACAGACAGGUGGAGAGGGAACUGUCACUGUGGGGAAAGAGCCCACUGAUGUCAGCUAUCUUACAGCUCAAAGGAUGCUGAAUGAGUUUUUGAACCAGAUUCCUCCUCCAGCGCAUGAUGGUGAAGGAAAAGAUACAGCAGAGCUAACAGAAGAGAAGCAGUAACAUUUCAUUUGACGUCUUUUGGUAAACUGUAUAGGAAAUUAAAAAUCUCUAACACCUCCCGUUACCAAUAUUGCAGCAAGGAUGCAAAUAACUGUGGCUCUGAUAUUUGUGAAAUAAACUUAAUUUCUAGCUUUACA